CAAACACACCGCGCCGGACGCCUCUGGGUGAGCGGGCAUGAGGAGGGGGCUGCAGUCCUGCGCACUGGGUGAACGGAGGAAUCAACCACACGCUGACCACUAAGGUCACCAGUCGAAGCCCUCACAAAGCAAGUGGGGACCUCUCUGGUGCCCCAAUGGGAAGGCUCACCCUCAAAGAUUUCUCGGAGUCCUGGAGAUGAACUCCAUUGCUCGCUGCUUGCGGCUCUCCAGACCCAGAAGGGGAAAGGAUACUUGUCUGGUCUGGACUGGUCACUGGAUAAGCUAUUAAAGUUUCAGAAAUUCAGCUGUGGAUCCAUCACUCUUGGAUCAAGAAGGCUCACCUGGACAACUGCUGGAAGGCCUGCCCAGAAGAAUCAACUUCCCUGAAAAUUACCCUGAGGAGACAACGCACCCAAAGCCCUGCUCCCACCAGUCCAGAAGCUGAUGGGUCUAUGCACAGCUGAUGCUCCAACUUUGGAAUGAACUGUGGACAAUUGAGCUGCUUGUUUUAUGGAGUGUUGGAACCAGUCACCCUUGUUUGUAACUGUUGGCUUCUGGUAUGCCAUACCCGUACGUAUACAACUGUACAAAGAUGUUUCCUAUUGUUUUUUGUUUAUUUGUUUUGUUUUGGUACCAGGGAUUGAAUUCGGGACCUUGAGCUUGUGAGGCAGGCAGUGGAACCAUUAAGCUAAAUCCUGGCCCCCUAUUGUUGAUCUGUAUCUGCUCCUACGUGGUCUACUUGGCCAAGCAAACUCAGGGCACUGGGAGUUCCAAGCCCAACUUUAUGGCACCGAUCCCAUGGUAAUCCUCAACAGGACUACAUGGGAUCCCUCCCAGCCUACUAUGUAUUUGUAUUUUAAUGCACGUCCUAUUGAAACCAAAAACCCAGGCCAGAAUUCCUAUGUUUAGGAGGCUUAAUCUGGGAAAGAGAAUAUCAAACCAAUAACAAAUAUGUCUGUCCCAAAUGGUGCCAGCCACCUGGAGGCCAAGGGCGUCUAAGCCACUGUAGAGACAUCCUAGAUUGGUUCUUCCUCUAUUGGGACUGCCCCAUGGACUACAGGGGGUACCUGAAUAUGCCCUUAACCCAGCUCCCAUCAAACCCUAAUUGUCAACAAGGGACUUGCAACCCAGUAAGGUACACUGUCCAGGACUCCACCAACCAAGAGUGGGCAAACAGUUGUCAGAUGAAUGUCCAGGUAGAUGGUAGGGGAAAAGACCCGGGGGUAAUCAUAAGAAUCCAAAACGUCUAGGCCCCAUCACUCCAUAUCAGUAUAUCUACACCAAGGCCACCACUGCUCCCAUUCCCCCCUGAGCCCAAGGGAAACCUUACUGACCCACCCACACCUAACCUACACACCUAUUGAACACGAACACACAGUCUAGUCAUAGUCUAGUUUGACCAUGUUCAAACAAAAGGGGGGAAAUAAAGCAGAAAAUACACUUGCUCUCAGUCAGAAGACCCCACCCUUCAGUAAGCCUUUUGUUCUCCAAUAAGUUUGUUUCCCCAGAAUGAUGUAACCUCUUGACCCUCUUCCUGCCAUAUGAAACCAGAAUGUAACUUUUGACCAAUCAUAUAAUACCUUCCUGUUCCUGCCAUAUAUAAAAAAGGGUGACACUCAAUGUAUCUUUCUGUCCAGUCAACUAACAACAAGCGCUCUGCUUCUGUACUUCCUGCUUGCUCACAAACCCUAUAAAAACCUGGCACACCGACCUUUCAGGGCCUGACUCUUUGGGAGUGAUCCCAGUCAGGACUGCCAAAGUCAAGAAAGCUGUACAUUUGCUCCAAACCUCGGGUCCCACUCAGUUCUUGGUCUUGGUCUGCUGUAGUACUUGCUGAGAGCUGUAGAAUUUGCUGUAAUACUAUCUCUCUUAGGCCCACUAAAAUCCACAUGAUCCAAACCCACCUCUUUGACCAUAAAAUAUACUACCACUAGUGCCAGGCUAAGUGACAGGAAGAUCCCACGACCUCUAGGUCAGCCUCAGUUCAAAGCCAGCCUAAACUCAGACCUUGCUCCAAAGGGGGGGUACUUUUACUUCCUAAUUCAUUGGGGGUUUUUUGUUCCUUGAGACAGGAUCUUACUGUUUAGCCCAGACCAGCCUCACACUCAUGCCAAAUCCUCCCAAGUGAUGGGAUUACAGGAGUGAGCCACCAUGCCCAACUGAUGUCUAAUUUAUUGACCAUCCUUUGUGUCUAAAAUACAAACUGAGGGACCAGGGAUGUAGCUCAGUGGCACCACACCUGCCUGGCAAGCACAAGGUCCUGAGUUCUAUUUCCAUUGAGGGGGGAUACAAACUGAAAUACAAACUCCAUGAGAGGGUCCUUGUCUUCUUCACUAUUUUAUUCCAUCACCUGGAACAAUGCCUGCCUAACACAUAAUAGGUGCUCAGUAAACAUUUGUUGAGUUGAGUAAAUAAAUAACUUUUGGAUGAAGGA